UACGUAGGGUGCAAGCGUUGUCCGGAAUUAUUGGGCGUAAAGAGCUCGUAGGCGGCUUGUCGCGUCUGCUGUGAAAACCCGAGGCUCAACCUCGCGCCUGCAGUGGAUACGGGCAGGCUAGAGUGCGGUAGGGGAGAUUGGAAUUCCUGGUGUAGCGGUGGAAUGCGCAGAUAUCAGGAGGAACACCAAUGGCGAAGGCAGAUCUCUGGGCCGUAACUGACGCUGAGGAGCGAAAGCGUGGGGAGCAAACAGG
rnacentral:rRNA from 1 species